CAGCCGCCGCGGGAAUACGGAGGGUGCAAGCGUUACUCGGAAUCACUGGGCGUAAAGGACGCGUAGGCGGAUUAUCAAGUCUCUUGUGAAAUCUAACGGCUUAACCGUUAAACUGCUUGGGAAACUGAUAAUCUAGAGUAAGGGAGAGGCAGAUGGAAUUCUUGGUGUAGGGGUAAAAUCCGUAGAUAUCAAGAAGAAUACCUAUUGCGAAGGCGAUCUGCUGGAACUUAACUGACGCUAAUGCGUGAAAGCGUGGGGAGCAAACAGGAUUAGAGACCCCGGUAGUCCCUGUCUCUUAUAC
rnacentral:rRNA from 1 species